rnacentral:tRNA from 7 species
GUUAGGGUGGCAGAGCCCGGCAAAUGCAAAAGACCUAAGCCCUUUGAACAGAGGUUCAACUCCUCUCCCUAACU